CAUUACNGAGAACUUGCCCUUCGGGGUAGAUCUCCCACCCAAUGUUUACAUUACUUUGUUGCUUUGGCAGGCCCGUCUUUGGACCACCGGCUUCGGCUGGUCAGUGCCUGCCAGAGGACCCCAAACUCUGAAUAUUUAUUGUCUGAGUAUUAUAUAAUAAGUUAAAACUUUCAACAACGGAUCUCUUGGUUCUGGCAUCGAUGAAGAACGCAGCGAAAUGCGAUAAGUAAUGUGAAUUGCAGAAUUCAGUGAAUCAUCGAAUCUUUGAACGCACAUUGCGCCCUCUGGUAUUCCGGGGGGCAUGCCUGUUCGAGCGUCAUUACAACCCUCAAGCUCUGCUUGGUAUUGGGUGUCACCUCCUGGUGCACCUCAAACACAGUGGCGGUGCCAUUCGGCUUCAAGCGUAGUAAUUUUAUCUCGCUCAGGAGUCCGGGUGUAACUUGCCAAAACCCCCAAUUUUUUAAAGGUUGACCUCGGAUCAGGUAGGGAUACCCGCUGAACUUAAGCAUAUCAAUAA
rnacentral:rRNA from 1 species